rnacentral:rRNA from 1 species
UACGUAGGGUGCAAGCGUUGUUCGGAAUCAUUGGGCGUAAAGCGCGUGUAGGCGGUUAGGUAAGUCGGGUGUGAAAUCCCUGGGCUCAACCGAGGAAGUGCAUCCGAAACUGCUUAGCUAGAGGACGGUAGAGGAAGGUGGAAUUCCUAGUGUAGAGGUGAAAUUCGUAGAUAUUAGGAGGAAUACCGGUGGCGAAGGCGGCCUUCUGGGCCGAUCCUGACGCUGAGACGCGAAAGCGUGGGUAGCAAACAGG